CAUGUAAAUGGGCUUUAGUCCAAAUUUAGCAGAAAAAAAAAACUUUUAUUUCGCACCACAAAGCCAUUAACAUGAACUAGUGAAGAAAUUAGACAUCAUGUCUGAUCGCACUGUUAAAUAUAUUUAAAUAUAUUUUGAAAACACUUGAUGGUCACGCGCUGUACUGGAGUCACCAUGGAAACGGGGCUCAGCUCAACCGUUAAGCAGCUGAACAGACGCUGUCUCUCAUGGUUGUUUUCACUAAUUUCAGUUUAUAGAAAUGGUCAGUGUCUUCAUAAAAAGUCCGUUAGCAUCUCAACUGUAAUGCUAACUACAAGAGUUAUUUUGAUGUCCACACUGUAAGAGUAUUAAUCGAUUCUUCCAUGCUGAUGGCCGUGCCUGUAUCCAGCUGAAGAACAUUUUUAGACAUUAUGAAACAUAUAACUAAGACUGAAAAUCAUUGAUAAACCACAAGCUCCAACCCCAGUUAAGCAGACCUGAGCAGCCGAUCAAGGAUCAGCAGAAACUCUGCAGAACGGUGGUCCUCCAGCCCAGGACUGGACACCAGUGUUAUGCUGCAGAAAAAAGAGCGAGGCUAAAGCAUUCAAAGUGGAAACAUCUGCCGUGGCUCAUUAAUCCAGAAUUGGGAUGGAGGAAGGAGCAGAAGAUCAGAGAUCAGGCAGAGAUCUACUGGUGCCCCUGUGGGAACCCCAUUUACCUAAUGUGUUAGUUUAACCAAAGAUUUUCCUCACUCACCUUUAUGUUGUUCCAAACCAGACUUUUGUUCAUCAUUGAAACAUAAAUGCGGAACUUUUUAAUGAAAUCUGAGAUUAUUUUCUUUAUAUAAAAUAACACAUUCACACAAGCACCAUGAUGCAUCAGUGUUGCAUUGGCGUGAGAGCUGGCGCUUUUGGUGCUUUUGUGAAAAUCCAUUGGGGAGUCAUAAUUUCUGAAUAGAUUAUUUUUGCUGUUGUUAUUGUUUGUUUGUUU